rnacentral:rRNA from 1 species
CAGCCGCCGCGGUAAUACCGAGGGUGCGAGCGUUAAUCGGAUUUACUGGGCGUAAAGCGUGCGUAGGCGGCUAAUUGAGUCGGAUGUGAAAUCCCCGAGCUUAACUUGGGAAUUGCAUUCGAUACUGGUUAGCUAGAGUGUGGGAGAGGAUGGUAGAAUUCCAGGUGUAGCGGUGAAAUGCGUAGAGAUCUGGAGGAAUACCGAUGGCGAAGGCAGCCAUCUGGCCUAACACUGACGCUGAGGUACGAAAGCAUGGGGAGCAAACAGGAUUAGAUACCCCUGUAGUCCCUGUCUCUUAUAC